UGUGCUCCGGGACCCAAGACAGCAUCUGUUUCGCUUUUUAAAUCAACCAACAGGAAAAAAAAAAAAAAAUCUAGAUGCUCAGACCACAUUGAAGUACCGAGCCCACGCCUGGCCAGCCGUCUCGACCCGGGUAUCCUGCUUACCCAAGUUGCCACUAAAAGUAGGGGCCAUGGUUACCCCCAUUUUGCAGAUGAAGAAACUGAGUCCUGGAAGGAGAGAGGAGCCUCCGGUUUGCAAAGGAAGAGGAUUAUGAGGGCGAAUUUCAAGGCUCCAGGAAGCACAUGAGGUGGCUCAGGAGGCUGUGUUCAGGGAAGGCUUCGCUAAGGAAGCCACAGUUAACACUGGGAAAAAAGUACAAGGCCCAGGAGGACGAGGAAGAUGAAGCUCAAUGUCUUAUGGAAAACCCAGUUUGGCCCCUGAGGAGGGUUGGGGCUGGAGGACCUGGCUGGGGGCAGACUGUGCAGAGCCUUGAUAGGUUCCAGCUUUGGCUCAGCAUCUCGUCCCACCCUGUCUGUAUCCAGCCAGCGUUCAAGAUUCAGAUCCGUCGGCUUCCCUGACGCCUCUUGCUGAGACUGAACUUGUUCCUACCCCUAAGCUCCUGAAAGUAGUUGGCUCUCUGUAUCUGUGGGUUCUGCAUCCACGGGUUCAGCCAGCCAUGGAUAAAGCAUCUUUGAAAAAAAAUUGAGCGUGUUCUGAACAUGUACAGAAUUCUUUCUUGUCAUCAGCCCCUGAAUAAGACAGUUAACAACGGUUUGCAGAGUUCUGAGGUCGCGUUAAUUAUUAUAAACCAUCUAGAGAGUAUCUCAAGUGCGUAGGUUCUGUGUAAAUCCUGUGCCACUCUGAGGUGGGACCUGAACAUCAUCAGAGCUUGGUAUCCAUAUGGGGUCGUGGAACCAAUCCCUUAGGGACAUUGAGGGAUGACUGCCCAUUCUUUGCUUUAUCUGAGGGGGGCGUACCAGGGAUUGAACUCAGGGGCACUCAACCCCCGAGCCCCAUCCCCAGCCCUAUUUUGUGUUUUAUUU